rnacentral:tRNA from 1 species
UGGCUUACUUAGUUGGUAGAGCAUGGCACUUGCAACGCCAGGGUUGUGGGUUUGAAUCCCAC